CUGCCAAUCUCAGGGGUAUAGCCCUUGUUCCCACUUAAUAUAAGAGGAAACUGACAGAAAUCCCAGACGAUUUACCCAAGGUCACCCAGCUGGUAGAUGGAGAAGUAGAGGCAGGAACUCGGAUUAUCUGAAUUGUGGUUUGUAUUAAGCACUCAUUCUGUGCCAGGCGCAGUGAAAGUACCAGAUGGGGAGUUUGUAAACUGGGCAAAGGAGGGUCCCGGAACCUCAGAACCUGAUGAAACCCUGGCCCGUCUACUCUGAGCGUCAGCCCCACCCACAGUGCAGAAGAGGCCCCUUUCUACCACCAGGCUCCACCCCCAGAGCCAUUGAUUGGACUGUGCAGAAGGGGUGGGGCCCUCCAAGCCGAGAUAAGCCAAUCAGAACCUCUCUUCAAGGAACUGGAAAUUAGAACAGUGUUUGGGCCAGAUAGAUGGUGGUGGGCGGGGGAGGAAAGGUUUUGAGGGAGCAGCACCCUUGCCUGAUGGGUGCCCAAAGCUAGGGGCAGGUGGAGGUGAGAAAAGGACAAGCUCUGCAAACGUUGCGGAAGCGUUCUGUCCGUGGAGAAGGCAUGGGACUUUCACGUGGAGAGCAGCUUACUCCUGCUGAGAACUUUGGGGAGACAGAGGGGAGCAACCAUCUCAGACCUGAGCGGCUAAGGAGCUGAGUCCCCCUCUGUCACACUGUGCAGAUCUGCUGGACUUUGCAGUAAGCAGCCUUCAGGUCUAAAGCACUGCUUCCUGGGACUGCCUCCGGGAGAAAGCACUUGGGGGGAACUUGUCUGAAGAUGUGCUUCUGGGAGAACCUUCGCUAAGAGGGAAGUAACUUAAGUGACUCGAAGGUGGCUCAGAGGGUGGUUGGCAUCUCACAUAGUAAGAAGGGAUUCUGGCUACAUUAAGAAGGGAUUUACCGACGAGCAGGAGGCGGUGUCUGCAGACUCAAGGCACCUGUCUUCACCUCCCAAGCCAGGUGCCCAGGCCUGAAGGCACUCAGCCUCCGGGAGCCCACGAGGCAGGACUGUGCCCUGACCACAGGCCCUGGGCGCCGGGCCGCCAGCCCGUGUCCUGCAGGGCGGAGGGGCUGAGGCCUCCUGAGUUAAUGAGGUCCCCAGCAGACGCACACCCCGCUGAAAAUGACAAACGAACAGCAUUACAGGCCGUUCCCACAAUUACUAUCAGUUGGCUGUAAUAUAAAUAUGCAAAUUCUCUGGGCUUGAACUUUAACACCCUCGGUAGAGACCAUUCAUCUCUUUAAAGUAUUAAUUUAAGUUGUAAAAGGGCCCAUACAUCACCGCGUGUCAUUUUGAAAACAAAUAUUAAUCAAUUUUACCCUCGGAAUUGCUACAGCGGAGGCGGCCCCCACGGCUGCGGCUGCGGCUGCGGCACCAGGAAGCGGUGGCGGGAGAUUUACAUAUUCAUCCGAGCUUAAGGAAGCCGCGAUAAUACAGGGAGAUACCUCCAUCCUCAGCCGGAGAGAGCACACUUCCAGCCUCCUCCUGAACCAGGGCUUGCAGGGCCACAAGGCUGCUGCCUUUCUCUGGUACUGGGGAGUGCCCACGUCAAGCCAGCAGAGGACACGUUGCACCUGCACAGGUGCAUGAGAGAUGCUCCUUUCUUCCCAGAGCCAUCCUAUAGUGGCCUGCACACCCUCAUCAGCAUCCACUGCAUUGUAUGCAUGUACACAUGCUGUAUGUACACACGGGACACUGGCUCACUGUGUGGCUGACCUCCACAUCGCAGCCCAGAAAACCCUGCCUCCCUUCAUUGGCCCAUCAGCAACGUUGGAACUGGACUUUCCUGAUGAACUCUAUGCAUAGAACAGUGCACAGGCAAAGGGUUCUUCCCGGAAUGGUGAUGCUGACCAGUGAACAUCGUCCACCACCUCCUGGUAAUGCUGAGUGCUGGCCAAUGUCAAACAUUCACUAGGACAGUCGCAGAUCCUGGCUCAAGUGAGGAAAAGAAAUAGCUCCCAAUCCUUCUCCCUGGUGCUAGGGUGAGAGGAACUCACUGCUAAGCCUGGGACAGGAAUCACUCAGGGAUGCAAUAAAAUCCCCACCCUGCAGGUAUAUCUGAACCAAAUGAAGUACCCCAUAUAUGUCAAAUCACAUGUAAGCAUGUGCACAUGUAUACACUGGACUAUGUGUAAAUGUGCACAUUGCCCAUGUAUGUUAAGCCAUAUGCAAGGAUUUACAUGUGUGUAUGUUCUACCACAUGUAAGUGUGCAUAUGUGUAAGUCGCAUGUGUGUGCACGUGUGUUGAUCCACGUGAGUGUAUGCACACAUGUACAUUAAACCACAUGUAGGUGUGUGCAUUGCACAUGCACAUGUGUAUUGAACUACAUGUAAGUGUGUGCAUACAUGUAUGUUGACUCACACAGAAGCAUUGCAGGUGCAUAUGUGUAUAUCGAACCACAUGUAAAUGUAUGCACACAUUAUGUUGGUCUAUGACAGUCUGUGCAAAAAAAGACAUCCAGAGAUAAUGACAGGAAAUAAACACAGUGGCCAUUUAA